ACUUUCCUGCCACAAAUAAUUUUUCACCAUGUGGGGAGAUCAAGCAGAUUUUCCUCCAGAUUACUACCCUCCAGCAUAUCCACCUUCAGUGGAUCCAUAUGAAAUGCACACUGGUGAGAUCAUAUUCUUUAGUCAGUUAAUUAAGAUAAAAUGUGAAAUAGAUGCAGUUUAACUCCGCCAAUAGACUGCAUCCAUUAUACCUACGUUGAAUCGUGAAGUUUUAGAAAAAUUCAAACGUUAAUGCAGAUGAACUUUAAGCAAUAAAGAUAUAUUUGUAUAAUAUAUUGUGUAUACAUGAUUGAUGAAAAUGUAUUAUCCAGCAUAUGCCAUACAUUUGGAGAUAAAUUUAAUUUCUUUAAAACAAUUGAAUUUGAUAUAUAUUCUAUUAUAUUAACAUUAUUAUAAGCUUAAUCUGAGAUAACUAUAGACACAGUAAACAAAUGUUUAUUGUAAAAUCAAAAUAUAUGACACAGGUAACUCUCGAUCGCUCGAAGUUCUUGAUCGCUCGAAGUGAGUCUAGGGUCCCGAUUUUUUUCCUAUAUAACUAAGCAAAUUUACUCUUGAUUUCUCGAACUCUUGAUCUCUCGAAACCCUUGAUCCCGUUGUUCAUUAUCUAUAGUUUCUUACUCUCGAUACCUCGAAGUCGCUGUGUAUCUCCUAGCGCUAUACCUAAUUAACACCUACUUGGUUAUUUUAACCGCUCCAGGCAUUAGAUGCGGGACCCUUGUUACGGGUUAUUUAUUCUGGCGACACUUGUCCUACAGGGUGAUAAAUGUUUGAUGAUUGACCUAACCGAUACCUAAUCUAUAAAUAACACAGACCAUUUUAUGAUAAUUUGGAGAUGCAAUGAAAAUGAGAAAUUGAGACGAAACGAUGAUAUUGAGCCAUGGUCAAAUUUUAGAAUUAUAAAACUGUAAAAGCAUCAUUGUCAUUAUAAUGAUUAUUUCUAAACAAGAUCAUACAGUAGGAACAAUGGGUGAUACUCAGUUAUAUCAUUUAUGACAUGUCGAUCGUCUCGCAGUCCAGUAGUACUGAGCAAUCUGGUCUUAAUAUGAUGCAUAAAAUAAAUAAUUAUUAUGUAUUUAUUCAAUAUUUGUUUGUAUUCAGUUUUUAAAACAUCCAGUUUUGUAUAUAUAACUGAAAAUAAAAUGUCGUUUAAGCACGUGCGUAAGGUUACCACUAAAUAAAUGGCUUAAACAUAACAUCCAGUAAGACUAAUUUAAAAACCCAUCGGUCAACCUGGAAAAUUCCGAACUCUUGAAAACUCCAACUCUUGAAACCUCAAAGUUUUUCCUCGGUCCCAUGAACUUCAAGCUAUCGAGAGUUACCUGUAUUUUGGUCUAAAGAUACCACUUCAACAUGUAGUCAAUCCAGCCAUAAGCUGUUAAUCAUAAUCCAUUUAAAGCAAUGAAUUAUUUAUUUACUAUCAACCCACUGAGUUAAAAUCAUGAUGGUAUAUUAAGCACACCAUUGUAAAUUUAUUUUAGGCGACCCUCGUCAGGAUAUAGAGUUUGAGAGGCAGUACCAACAGUCGACGUACAUUGUCCCAGACAUCAUCAAGAGUUUCCUCACAUACUUCCAGAAAAGUAUCACUGAGCAGAAUGUUUAUGAAAUUCAGAAUGCGUAUGAAAAUGGAUUCAAUAAAUUGACAGAGAGGUUCUUCAAGACCUCUCCAUGGCCCGAGGCAGAAGUGGUUGCUCCAAUAGUACAGAAUGAUCAUUUGUUUUUGAUCCUGUACAAGGAACUUUUCUACAGACAUAUUUAUGCCAGGGUUCAGAAUGGCCCAACUUUGGAGCAGAGAUUUGAAUCUUACUACAAUUAUUGUAAUCUCUUCAACUACAUCCUAAAUGCUGAUGGGCCAGUCCAUUUGGAGCUUCCCAAUCAGUGGUUGUGGGAUAUCAUUGAUGAGUUCAUCUACCAGUUUCAGUGCUUCAGCAUCUACAGAUGUAAAGUGAACAAGAAGUCAGAGGAUGAGAUCAGCUUUUUAAGGUCCAACCCCAAGAUAUGGAAUGUGCACAGUGUCUUGAAUGUAUUGCAUUCUCUGGUUGACAAGUCCAACAUCAACAAACAGUUAGAAGUCUACUCAAUGGGAGGUGAUCCGGACAGUGUGGCCGGUGAGUUUGGACAGCACAGUCUGUACAAGAUGCUGGGCUACUUCAGUUUGGUGGGGCUGCUACGACUCCACUCCCUGCUGGGCGAUUACUACCAGGCCCUCAAGAUCCUGGAGUGUAUUGACUUCAACAAGAAGGUGGGAUAUUGUCAGACCAAAAAGUUCUAAUACGUUAAGCCAUAAUGGGUAACAAAGAACAAAAAAUGGCAUCUAUGUUUUGAGUUUAAGGUUAAUUGAUAUGAUAAAAUCAAGAUUUUUAUCCUUUCUGAUAAUUAUGUCUAUAGGUGUGUUGAAAUAACUUUUCAGAGCAUGUAUUCGCGAGUACCUGCCUGCCAGAUCACCACGUUUUACUAUGUUGGUUUUGCAUACCUUAUGAUGAGGAGAUACCAGGAUGCUAUUAGGACGUUCUCCAACGUUUUACUGUACAUCCAGAGAACUAAGCAGAUGUUCCAGGCCAGAGUACAGAUGUAUGACCAGAUCACUAAGAUGAACGACAAGAUGUACACCUUGUUGGCCAUUUGUCUGGUUCUCCACCCGAUGAGAAUUGACGAGAGUGUCCACUCACAGCUGAGGGAGAAAUUCCAGGACAAGAUGUUAAGGAUGCAAAAAGGAGACACUGAAGAAUUUACAAACAACUUCUCAUUUGCCUGUCCAAAGUUCCUGUCGCCAGUUCCACCGAACUAUGAUGCUGUUACAGCUAUAAACCACAAGGAGCCAUUCCUGCUGCAGCUGAGGGUGUUUAUGGAAGAGGUCACCCAGCAGAUCAUCCUGCCCACCAUCAGGAGUUUUCUGAAGCUCUACACCACCCUUCCUCUGUCAAAGCUAGCCAUCUUCAUGGACAUGACUGAAGAUGAGCUGAAGACCCAUUUGAUGUGUUUUAAGCACAAAAUGAAGAACCUGGUUUGGACCAAGGGUACCAGUGGUCUGGAGGGAGAGUUCCAGUCGGCGUCUGAGGUGGACUUCUAUAUAGACAAGGAUAUGAUUCAUAUUGCGGACACAAAAGUUGCUAGAAGAUACGGAGAUUUCUUCAUCAGACAGAUUCACAAGUUUGAGGAGAUUACCCGAAAUUUGAAAGUGGUGAGUGCAGGAGCUGGGAAAACUUCAUCCUAAGAGGAGGACUGUGUUUAAAUUAUCCUGGACACUUGUAUUUAAUAACUCUCUUCAAAAUCUUCUUCAGUGUAUCAAUAUUAUUGUACAUGUAGUGAAUAAAACAUGUGUGCAAUGUG
rnacentral:misc_RNA from 1 species